AAAAAGUCAUAUACGCGCAAAACACAUUUUUACGUUUAAAAGCACAGCUGUUUCUUGGCGUUGGCUGAAUUCACUCUCACGUGGUGGUUCGGUGUGAAGUGAACUCUAAACUUUACCUCAGGAGAUACCCUCUGCGCCUCUCGUACUAAGGUAAAUAUAACAGGGUUUACCGUGCCCCUCUAAUAGGCUGGUCCACGGAAACCCACCCACUGCAGUAAGCUAAUAGAUAUCCCACCAAAUCAAUAAAAGUUUCGAUAGGAUGACAUGGCAAUUAUAUUACUACCCAGCCUGUCAAGGAAAAACAAACGGUUCAUACAAUUUCAACACAAUUUCCAAUUCAGCCAUUCAUGCCAAUAUCACCAUAAGCCAUUCAAUUCAAACCAUAAAUUUACAACACAAACAAACAGUCUCCAAUUACUCAAUUUCUAAAAUCAUCAUUCAAUUUUAAAAUGAUUUAUAAAACUCAUUGCAUUUAAUCACAUUUUACUUAUAAAACAUAAGGAUUUACCAUUUAAACUCAUUUUUCUAAAAUCACAAAAAUGAAUAAAAACUACUUUAGAUAAUUAAGACGAUAAUAAGGUUACUCACAAUAUCGGGAGUUCGAAAUACCCUACUCUUAGUCCUCUAGCACAAUGUAUUUACCCUUGUUAGAGGACUCACCACCUAUACACAAUACACGACAAAUAAUUCAAUAUAUUGUAUCAUAUCAUUAUAAAUCUAUUUCAGGCUCUAUAUGAAUGCAUGAGGUUGUUUGGAUAGUCACUUAAAAAUGGAAUUCACGUUGGUUCAGGGGUGAUCGGAAUGGAUCAGUUUUCGACCUAAUUCGAACUCUUCACCUUUGAUGUAACCAAACAUCCAAAUUGACUCCAAAUAAAUUCAUUUCACUUCCAAUACUCCAAAUCAUCAAAUAUAAGCUAGAUAACAUGAAUUAUAGCAAAAUCAUCCUCAACAUUUUCUCUUGGAAAAUUCGGCCAUGAUGGGUGCAUAAACACUUUGGUUUUUUACACUUGAUUUUUACACCAUAAAUCAUUAAUUCCUAACCAAAUCACUUGAAAUAAAAUCAAAUCCACCAUCAACAUACCAUAUGGAAGAUUCGGCCAAUGAGGGUAAUGGAAGAACAUCAAUUUUUCUUGUUUGCUUUUUAUGCUAUACAUCACCAAACAACUAAAAACACUAGAAUAACAUGAAAUCUAGCUAAAUCCAAGAUCAAAACUCCUCCCCCCAUGUCCGGCCAGCAAAGGUAUUCUCAUGCAAACUUGAUUCUCAACCAUGAAAAAUGAAAAAGAAUGCAUAGGAAAGGUAGAUCACAAGCUAAAAUCAAGAAAUUUUACCUUUACUUGCUUAAUUCCUUGAAAUCCACUAAUUUUCUCUUGAAUUUUCUAACUAGGGUUUUGUUCUUUCUUUCUUUCCUCUUUUCCUUGGUGAGGCCAAACAUGAAGAAUGAAUAAGAGAGGUGUGUGCUGGUUUUUAAUUUGAAUUAUAAAGAAAUGAAAACUUUCCACUUGUCACCAUCCCAUUGAUCCUUUUUUAAAUUUAAUAAUUAAGCAUUCUUUCUCCACCACAUAAAAUAUCUCAAUUAUCCAUAACAUAAAAUGUUAAUGGAUGAAAUCCUUAGACAUGACAAGUGUUGGGUGGUGUAAAAUUCCAAUUUUGCCCUUGGGUGGUAAAAUGACCAUUUUGCCCCUACGUCAUGAAAAUUCCAAUUUGACUCCAAAUCAAUCAUUGAACUCCGAAUCACCAUAUUAAGUCAUUCUGGGGUUUUAGAAUUCUCAAUUUCAUCUUAAAAUCUCUAUUUGGACUAGUUCGAGGCUUAAAUCAACUUAAUUGUACCAUUAGGUACAAUAUCAUCUUUUAACGAUUUCUGAGGCAUUCAAGUAUGCAAACAUUCUAUCAAGUACCUAUACAAUAUGGCAAAUAUAUUAUAAAGUUGGGCUUGACAUAUAUUCUCAUGUUUAAAUUCAUUGAAUUUAUUUGCAAUGAAAGUACAUUUUGAUAAUAAGACGAAGAGUUUGUUUUAGUAAGCAUUCAUUAUCUAGUUAUUAAGGUACCAAGAUUCUAUUGAGAUAUUAAAAUACAUUUGUAUGAAGAGUCAUACAUAAGAGACAUGUAUUUUAAUUAAAUCUAAAAAAUUGUUCACAGCCAUAUAAUAAAGCUGGUCACUUUAUUAUGUUAAGGUUGUAGUGUCCAAAUUACUUCUAACGAAACGAAUGUGAUUCAUUUCAAUGGAAUGAUGAGUCUCAAAUCAUCAAAAUGGUUGACUUCAAGUAAUGACACUAUAACAUGAACUGGAAUCAUGUGGCAAUCAAAUUUAAGUUUUACCAUUACCUAAAUUUUGAUCCCACACUUAUGCAUUUGCUUAUAGUAGAACCAAAAUCCUAAUGGAUAAUGGACUCGUGUCUAACCUCCUUAUAAUCUUUGAUUUACCAUGAGCAUGAUCAUCAUAAAACGUUGAUCUAGACUCCAUAUUUUGGGAUUAUAAUUGAGAUGAACAUCUAGGAACAUAUAUUCAGAUAAUGGAAUUCAUAGCAUUAACAUCACUUCAGUGAUUUCAAGAAGAUUGGUUAUUAAUAUGGGCCUAGUGGAUUGAUGAAUUAGAUACUCAUCACAUCUAGAUACUCAAAAGAUUAGAUCUAGAGUAUUGAAUCACUAAUUGGAUGAAAUUUGAGACUAGGGGACAAAAUUGACAUAAAAGGUAAAACGGUAAUUUCACCUUUUGUCAUUGGAUGGUUAUGAGGGUUCACAAUAUAAGGCUUCCAAUUGAACAACUAAUAAUUAAUUUCAAAUAUUGAAUUAUUUCUUGUAAUAAUAGUUAAUCCAAGAGUGCAACCAUGAAUCUAUGUUGGAGUGAUUUCAUGGUUAAUAAGCUUGAAUUAUUUUUAAUGAGAUUAAGAAUAAUUCUAAGUUUAUUGGAGCUUGGAAUAUCUAUGUCCAAAUAGAUUCCCCACUUAGCUUCGUAGAAUUCAACUUGUUUAAGUUGGAAUGCAUGUUUUAAUUUGUUUAAUUAAAUUAUGCACAAAAUUGGCAGCUUUGACAUGUUUGUCUUAAUUUAGACAAGAAAACAUGUUUGGUCUUAAUUUAGACAAGAAAAUAUGUUUGCUUUAAUUUAAGACAAGAAAAAUAUUUUUUGUCUUAAUUUAGUCAAGAAAACAUAUUUUUCUCAAUUUAGACAAGAUGAAAUAUUUUGUCUUAAUUACAGACAAGAGUUGUCUUAAAUUAAGAUAAUCUUAGGAGGAUUUUUGCAAAAUGAAUCUAGACAUCCAUGUUGAUAAAAAAAGACUCCAAGUUUGACUACUAGUCUUUUAUUUAUUAUUAAUGCUUUUUAAAUAAAGAUGGAUAAUAAUAAAAUAAGAGUUAUUAUUCAAUAAGGAGUUUUAUUUUAUCAAGAACUCUAAAUGAUAAUUAAAGAAUUAAAUUAUUUAUUCUUUAAUUUUUAUUUUGAUAAUUAUGGAGCAUGUUUGAUGCUUCCAUAACUCUGAAUGGAUGGUCAAGAUUGAUUCAAAGGUGUUUCAUUUUGAUUAAACUUUUGAAGCAAGAGUUUUAAUAAAAAGAGAAGAGAUUGGAAGAAAAUAAAAAGAAUGUACUUUUUCUUAAAAAAGGUUUCAGCCAUCUCUUCUCUUCUCCUCCUCCAAGCUUUUCCAAAGAAAAGAGAAUAAACUUAUUUGCCAUCUUGUAGCCUUGCAUUCCACACCUUGUCCACUCAAGGUUCAAGUUGAAAAUAUUCUUGAAGAAUAAGUGGUAAACUUAUUUGGUCGAGAAAUCAUUCAUUGAUGUGGCAUUGUCAAAAAAUAAGAAUCUCAAAAUAAAGGUAUGGUUUUCUUACUUAAUAGAUGCUUUUUUUUUUUGGAUGUGAUUAUAUUACUUGCAAUAAUAAUAAUGUGUGUUUCCGCUUGUGUAACUGGAUUGCUUGCUUCCUUUGUUAAAGAAAUUUUUGAAAUCCAUGCUUUACACAAUCACAUUAAUCCACUAAAAUCCUACUUCAACAUAUAUGGUGUAGUUUGUAUGUAAGAUUUGUGUAGUUAAAAUUAACCAUCAAGAGACAUUGGUGGAUUUGGUGUUGUUGGUGACAUUGGGCUAUGAUGCAAUAUUGGGAAUGGAUUGGUUGUAUGAUUAUUAUGCCAAUGUUGAUUGUUGCUAUAAAUAUGUGGAAUUUAAGUUUCUUGGAGAAGCCCCCUUCAUUAUUUAUGGACAUAAGAGUUCGUGCAACAAAAGAAUAUUGGCAAGAGUCGCUAGGGUGGAAAUGGGACAAAAUUACUUGGCAUGUGUAGUGGCCAAGGAAGAUGUGCUAAUGGAGGAAGUAGUUCCAGAUAUUAAAAUGGUGCAAAUAGUUAACAAGUUUAAAGAUGUGCUCCUGGAUGAAUUGCCAGGGUUGCCCCCAAAAAAAGAAGUUGAGUUUUGCAUUAAUUUGAUUAUUGGCACCGAACCAAUAUCUGAAGUUCCCUAUCGAAUGGCACCUGCAGAAAUACGAGUACUAUGAGAGCAAUUACAAGAGUUAGGAGAAAAAGGAUUUAUUCGUCCAACUACUUCGCCUUGGAGAGCUCCAAUAUUAUUUGGAAAGAAAAAGGAUGGAAGUUUGAGGCUAUGUGUAGAUUAUCAAAGAUUGAAUAGUGUGACAAUUAAAAAUAAAUACCCACUUCCCAAGAUUGAUGAUUUAUUCGAUCAACUGCAAGGAGCACAAUGUUUCUCAAAAAUUGAUCUACGCUCGAGGUAUCAUUAGUUAAGAGUCUAGGAGGAGGAUAUACCAAAGAUCGCAUUCCGUAUGAGGUACGGACAUUAUGAAUUUUUGGUGAUGUCUUUUGGUUUAACUAAUGCUCCCGCCACUUUCAUGGAUUUAAUGAAUAGAGUAUUUCGACCUUAUUUGGAUAGAUUUAUGGUGGUAUUUAUUGAUGAUAUCCUGGUGUAUUCUCGAAGUCUCGAAAAGCAUGCACAACACCAAAGAAUGGUGUUACAAACACUUCGAGAACAUGAAUUGUAUGCGAAGUUCUCUAAGUGCGCUUUUUGGUUGGAAAGUGUUAGCUUUCUUGGGCAUGUAAUAUCAAAAGAAGGAAUUAGCAUGGAUCCGCAAAAGGUUGCGUCGAGCCAAACUUGAUUAAGACCAAGUACUAUUACUAAGGUUUGGAGUUUUCUUGGAUUGGCCAGAUACUAUCGUCGAUUUGUGCGUGAUUUCUCAAAAAUCAUAGCACCAUUGACCAAGUUGAUUCGGAAGAGAGCUAAGUUUGAAUGGACUGAUGAAUGUGAAGACAAUUUCUUUAAACUAAAGGAAUGUUUAAUUUUGGCACCAGUUUUAAGUUUACCAAAUGGUACAGGAGGUUAUGUUAUGUAUUGUGAUGCAUCAAGGGUUGGACUAGGAUGUGUGCUGAUGCAAAAUGGUAGGGCGAUCGCGUGUGCCUCAAGGCAUUUCAAAAGGCAUGAGCAAAACUAUCCUACUCAUGACUUGGAAAUGGCAGCGAUAGUGUUUGCAUUAAAGAUUUGGCGUCAUUACCUAUACAGGGAGAGCUUUGAAAUAUAUACUGAUCACAAGAGUUUGAAGUAUAUAUUUCAACAGCAUGAUCUCAAUUUGAGGCAACGUUGAUGGAUGGAAUUGCUUAAGGAUUAUGAUUGUAUCAUCUAAUAUCACCCUGGUAAAGCAAAUGUGGUAUCCGAUGCUUUAAGCCGGAAGUCUAUGGGUAGUUUGAGACAUUUUUCUACUGAACGAAGAAGUAUAGUACGUGGAUGUUAGAGCCUAGGUAGUAUGGGGGUCAAGAUCGAUAUUGGUGGGCCUAGUGCCCUUAUUGCUCAUUUUCGAGUACGACCAAUGAUCUUGGACUGAAUUCGUAAUGCCCAGAACAAGAUGAAUUUGUGAUGAAAAUCUUAGGAUUGGAAGAGCAGGAUCAGAAUUAUGUACAUGGAGACGAUAGACUGCUGAAGUAUGAAGCCUAAACAUAAGUGUCGAAUCGAGAUAACUUAAGGGAAAAGAUUCUAGAAGAAGCUUACAUUACUGCCUAUACCGUACAUCCAGGAGCCACUAAAAUGUAUCAUGAUUUAACAAUGGUUAAUUGGUGGCUAGGGAUGAAGAAGCAUGUAGUUGAAUAUGUAGCCAAGUGCUUAACUUGUCAACAAGUUAAAGUUGAACAUGGGAAACCCCCAGGUUUGCUACAACCCUUGCCAAUUCCUGAAUGGAAAUGGGAACAUGUGGCUAUGGAUUUUGUGAUGGGAUUACCCCGUGUUAGUGGAGGAUAUGAUUCGAUAUGGGUAAUAGUGGAUCGAUUGACCAAAUCGGCUCAUUUCAUUUUGGUAAAAACUAGCUAUGGGUCAGUUAAGUAUGCCAAGAUUUAUAUUGAUUGUAUUGUACGAUUGCCUGGAGUUCCCGUGACCAAAGUCUCUGAUCAAGGGCCACAGUUUACUAAUAAGUUUUGGAGAAGUUUACAUGGAGCUUUAGGCACUUGUUUAGACUUCAAUACUACAUAUCAUCCUCAAAUAGAUGGUCAGUCAGAGUGUGUGAUACAAACACUCAAAGACGUGCUAAGGUCAAUCGUGUUGGAUUUGGGAACCACAUGGAAUCAACAAUUACCUUUAGCGAAAUUCGCAUAUAAUAAUAGCUACCAAGCUAGUAUCGAAAUGGCUCCUUUUGAAGCGUUAUAUGUACGAAAGUGCAGAUCACCUAUUGGAUGGUUUGAAGUGGGAGAAAGGGAAUUGUUAGGUCUUAAUUUGGUGCAACAAGCAACUGAUGUGGUGAGUUUGGUUUGGUUAUGUCUAAAGGCAGCCCAGAGUAGACAAAAGUCUUAUGCAGAUAAUAAACGUCGACCUUUGGAGUUUUAAGUGGGAGAUUUUGUAUUUCUAAAGGUAUCUCCACUAAACGAAACAAAAGAUUUGGAAAGAAAAGGAAGUUGAGUCUGAGAUAUAUUGGACCUUUUGAGAUUCUGGAGCUAAUUGGGUCAACAGCUUAUCGACUAGCUUUACCAAGGGAGCUAGCUCGAGUGAAUCCUACCUUCCAUGUGUCUAUGUUAAAGAAGUACGUUAGGGACCCGACACAUGUUAUACGUUAUGAUUGGGUUCAAUUGGAUGAAAAGAUUAACUUUUGAAGAGUAACUAGUGGCAAUACUAGAUCAUUAAGUGAAGCAACUGUGCUCCAAGGAAGUUGCCUUAGUAAAAGUCUUGUGGCAAAAUCGGUAAGUGGAAGAAGUAACCUAGGAACUCGAAAAAAAGAUGAGGAAGGAGUAUCGACACCUUUUUCAAGAGUAAGGUAUGCCCUGUCAACCCAUUUUAUUUAAAUUUGAGGACGAAUUUGUUUUAAGUGGGGGAGACUGUAAUACCUCGUACCCUCGUUUAAUAGUCAAUAAGACCCUAUCGAUAAGACGAAAGGUCACUUGAUGUAAAUUUAAGUGUCGAAGAGCGAUUACAGGUGAAAUAAAUAUUUUAGAAUAAAAUAAUAUUUUUAGGAAUAAAGUAAUAUUAAAAUAUUAAUAUUUUAUUUAUUAUUAAAAUUAGUCACGAAGGAGGAGUAUACAACUAAUCCAAGUGGGGAAGAAAAAAUAAGGAAGGAUUUUGGAGAAAAACGAUGAUAGUUGUGCCCACGUGUUUUUAUUAAAUCGAGCUAGCGUGAAUAAAUAAAUAUUUAAAUAUUAUGGUGAUACCACGUUGAAGGGAAACUUUGAUAUUUUGGUUGUACAUGUAUAAAGGAAGAAAGAUAAAAGGAAAUUGAAAUUUAAAACGUAUUAGAAUGACCAAAUUGUAAAAGAUGAAAGUUUGGAGGGUCACACGGUAAAUAAAGAAAAGUUUGAGGACUUAUGUGUAAAUUUUAAUAUUUGGAGUUAAAUGAAAAUUUAUUUGUCAAAGAAGAUUAGAUUAUGUGGAAAUGUGAAGUAUACAUGUGAUUUGAAUGGGUCAAAGCAUAGCUAAAUAAAAUAUUAAUUAAAAGUAGUGUAUAGAAUAAAAUAAUCAAAGUGUAAAGAAUAAAGAAAUGGAAAAUGAUGGAAAGAAGAAAAGUCAAAAGUUAUUAAGUAUGGGAAAGUCGCCCAUGAGGAAAUUGUGGGGAGAAAAUAAGAAGAUAAAGAUGAGAGAGAAAGACAAGAUAAGAAAUAAAAUAAUGAAAGUAAAGAAAAAAAUAAAAUAAGGCAUGUUUGGGCAGCCACCCAUGUGUGAAAUGAGGAAGUCAAAAUCCAUUUUAAGCCAUGUAUUGGGAGGUAGGGGACCAGCCAAGAGAAUAAAUAAAAGGAAAAACAUUGACAAGAGUAAGCUUGUCAUGUCGGCCCCCACAUGUCAAAGCAUCAAGUAAAUUUUUUUGUCUAUUUUCUUCUUGAAAUGAACGACAUUUUGAGACUUAAAGGAAGGAAGAAGUCGACUGAAAAGGAUAGAAAGGAAUCCUUGAGAUAUUUACCUGAGAGAAAGAAUAAAAAAAAAAGAAAGAAAGGGAGUUGGCAAACUCCACUCGAGAGCAAGAAGAAAAGAGAGAAAUAAAAAAGAAAAGACAAAGGAAAGAAAGAAAGGAGAAAGGAAAACAAGGAGAAAAAGAAAGAAAAAUAGAGAAAAGAAAGGCUAUGCCACCGGUUUAUGAAAGAGUUUAGGAGGGAUUAAGCCACCAGUUUAUGAGAGAGCUAAAGAGGGAUAGUGUUGCCAGCGUUGAGAGUGAAGGAAGAAGGAUGGAAGCUGUAACCAUAGUGAGAAAGAGACUUAGUGAAGGGAAAGAAAUGGGAGCAUAAGUGGUGGAAGAAAUAAGAAAGAAAGGAGAAGGUAGAAAGUUUUAUACUUUGAGCAGAAAAGAUCUAAACAGUGCUACUUCAAGAGGAGUAAAAUCACUCCUUUGAUCUUCCAACCAUGCCGUUAGCAAGAGGGGGUCCGACGGGUUACAACAAACUACUUGGAUCACCACCUAAGCCCAAGCUAGGGAACGUAUAAAUAGAGGAAGUGAGUUGUGCUGGCGUGCCAAACAAAGUAACAAGUGAACAACAAGUAGAAAUAGCGACGUAGUAUCCCGCUAUCGUAAGGUGAGUAGAAGGUAUCUAUUUUAAAAUUUUCGUAAUUAUAUAUAUAUACACGUAUGGUCUACUUUACACACAAAAAUUGUGGAAAGCAUGAGCUGGUAGAAUCCUAGGAAAUUUGUGAUUGCUAUGAUGUUUGAAUGUGUUUUGAAUAUAUAUGUAUAAAUUAUAUAUGUAAAGUGUUUUAAACUGGGAAACAAGCUUUUCAAGAUAGUUUAUAUAAAAAAUGUGCCUUAUAUUUGUGCAGUGUGCAUCCAUGAUUAUAAUGCAUAUUCACCAUGUGAAUUGUUGUUUCAAAUUCAUGCACAGAUUUUAUUUUAUAAAAAUGAUAAUAGAUUUUAUCACGUCCCUAUGUUGAAUACUUUGGAAAUAGUUUUGAAAUGAGAUUUCAAGGACAUGGCGUAAUUUCUAAAAUGGUUUUAUAAACCGAGAGAUUUGAGAGUAGGCCAGCUAUCACUUCGGUGAAGUGUGACCCUUGUGCAUGAGUGAGCUCUAGCUAGAGAAUCUUUGGGUUACCGACGGGCUGUUAGACAUGGCUAAGGCCAUGAUUUGUGAUCUGUACAUGGCUCGGCCACCUGUGAAAUACGCGGUUGCAACCGCUUGAUUCUCCAAUGUCGGUGAACAUCAUGGAGACUACCAUGGCAUGUGGAAUCCAAUGGAGCGAGGCUCCCGCAUGUUAUUACUGGUAACGGGACCACGAGUGUUAUUUCAUCUCCUACUAGAGAUGUAUAAGUUUUAUAAUCUUAUACAUUAACAUUAAAAGACCAAUUAUAGUCACUCAUGCCUUCCAAAGCCUUGUUACCCUCUUUAAGUAGAUGUAUAAGUUUAUAAAUGAUUUUAUAUUGAUUUUUUUUUCAUUUUUGGUUAAAACAUAUGAUAAUUUAUUAUUUGCAUUGAGAAACAUGAAACAAAAGCCAUCUAUUGCCAGGAUAAGUCCAUUUAUACUCAUUCAUGUUUUCUAAAGCCUUGUUACUUGCAUCAAAUGGUUUUAUAAUCUUAUAAAUAAUUUUAAACUGUAAUUCUAUAUAUAUAUAGUUAAAACAGAUCAUAAUUUGAUGUUUACAUCAGAAAACAUGAAGCAAAAGCCAUCUAUUGAUAAGAAAAGUCUAGUUAUAGUCACUCAUGCCUUCGAAAGCCUUGUUUCUCUCUUUAAGUGGAUUUAUAACUUUAUAAAUGACUUUAAAUUGAAUUUUUUUUUCAUUUUGGUUAAAACAGAUCAUAAUUUAAUGUUUACAUCAGCAAACAUGAAGCAAAAGCUAUCCAUUGACAAGAAAAGUCGAUUUAUACUCACUCAUGCUUUCAAAAACCUUGUUACUCGCUUUAAGUCAAUUUAUAACUUUUUAAAUGAUUUUAAAUUAAAUUUUUUUUACAUUUUUGGUUAAAAAAGAUCAGAAUUUGAAGUUUUCAUUGAGAAACGUGUAGCAAAAGCCAUCCAUUGACGUAAAAGGUCUAGUUAUAGUCACUCAUAUCUUCGAAAGCCUUAUUAGUCUCUUUAAGUGGAUAUAUAACUUUAUAAAUGAUUUCAAACUGAAUUUUUUUUCUUUUUGGUUGAAACAGAUCAUAAUUUGUUGUUUAAAUUAAGAAACGUGAACUGAAAGCCAACCAUUGAUAAUAAAAGUUCAUUUAUAGUCACUCAAGCCUUCUAAAACCUUGUUACUCGCAUUAAGUGGAUUUAUAACUUUAUAAAUGAUUUUAAAUUGAAUUAUUUUACAUUUUCAGUUAAAAUAGAUCAUAAUUUGAUGUUUGAAUUGGGAAACAUGAGACAAAAGCUAUCCAUUGACAAGAAAGAUUCAUUUUGUGUCACUCAAUUUACUCGCUUUAAGUGAUUUUAUAACUUUAUAAAUAAUUUUGAAUUGAAAAUUUUUCAUUUUUUGUUAAAACAGACUAUAAUUUGAUGUUUGCAUCAGGAAACAUGAAGCAAAAGCCAUCUAUUGACAAGAAAAGUCCAUUUAUAGCCAUUCAUGCCUUUGAAAUCCUUGUUACUUGCUUUUAGUGAAUUUAUAACUUUAUAAAUGAUUUUAAAUUGAAUUUUUUUCAUUUUUGGUUAAAACAGAUCAUAACUUGUUGUUUGCAUCGAAAAACGUGAAGAAAAAGCCAUUCAUUGACAAGAAAAGUUCAAUUAUGGUAACUCACACCUUCGAAAGCCUUGUUACUCGCUUUAAGUGGAUUUAUAACUUUAUAAAUGAUUUUGAAUUGAAUUUUUUUUCAGUUUUGGUUUAAAACAUAUUAUAAUUUGUUGUUUGCAUUGAGAAAUGUGAAACAAAAGCCAUCCAUUAGCAAGAAAAGCACAUUUAUAUUCACUCAUGUGCUCUAAAGCCUUGUUACUUGCAUCAAAUGGUUUUAUAAUCUUAUAAAUGAUUUGAAAUUAAAUAUUUUCUCAUUUUUGGCUAAAACAUAUUAUAAUUUGUUGUUUGCAUCAUGAAACGUGAAGCAAGAUCCAUCCAUUGACACAAAAAUUUCAUUUAUAGUUACUCUUGCCUUUGAAAGCCUUGUUACUCACUUGAAGUGGAUUUGUAACUUUAUAAAUGAUUUUAAAUUGAAUUUCUUUUGUAUUUUUGGUUAAAACAAAUCAUAAUUUGUUGUUUGCAUUAGAAAAUAUGAAGCGAAAAUCGUCCAUUGACAAGAAAAGUCUAUUUACAGUCACUGAUGCCUUGAAAAGCCUAGUUAGUCGCUUUAAAUAGUUUUAUAAUCUUACAAAUGAUUUCAAAAUUGAAUUUUUCUCAUUUUUUGUUAAAUUAUAUCAUAAUUUGAUGUUUGCAUCAGGAAACAUGAAGCAAAAGCCAUCCAUUGACAAGAAAAGUCCAUUUAUACUCACUCAUGCAUUCGAAAACCUUGUUACUCGCUUUAAGUGGAUUUAUAAAUUUUUUAAUGAUUUUAAAUUGAAUUUUUUUUCAUUUUUGGUUAAAAUGGAUCAUAAUUUGAUGUUUGUAGCAGGAAACGUGAAGUAAAAGCCAUCCAUUGACAUAAAAAGUCCAAUGAUAGUCACUCAUGCCUUUGUAAACAUUGAAAAUCUCUUUAAGUGGAUUUAUAACUUUAUAAAUGAUUUUUAAUUGAAUUUUUUUUUUCAUUUCUGGUUAAAAUAGAUCAUAAUUUGUUGUUUUCAUUGGGAAACGUGAAACAAAAGCAUCCAUUUGCAAAAAAACUAUAUUUAUACUCACUCAUGCCUUCUAAAGCCUUGUUACUUGCAUCAAAUGGUUUUAUAAUCCUAUAAAUGAUUUUAAAUCAAAAUUCUAUAUAUAUAUAUAUAUGGUUAAAACAUAUCAUAAUUUGAUGUUUGCAUUAGGAAAUGUGAACUGAAAGCCAUCCAUUGACAAGAAUGGUCCAGUUAUAGUCACUCAUGCUUUCGAAAGCAUUAUUACUCUCUUUAAGUGGAUUUAUAACCUUAUAAAUGGUUUUAAAUUGAAUUUUUUUCAUUUUUGGUUAAAACAUAUCAUAAUUUGUUGCUUGCAUUCGGAAACUUGAAACAAAAGCCAUCCAUUGGCAAGAAAAGUCCAUUUAUACUCACUUAUGCCUUCUAAAGCCUUGUUACUUGCAUCAAAUGGUUUUAUAAUCUUAUAAAUGAUUUUAAAUCAAAAUUCUAUACAUAUAUGGUUAAAACAUAUCAUAAUUUGAUGUUUGCAUAAGGAAACGUGAAGCAAAAGCCAUCCAUUGACAUAAAAAGUCUAGUUAUAGUCACUCAUGCCUUUAAAAGCCUUGUUACUCUCUUUAAGUGGGUUUAUAACUUUAUAAAUGAUUUUGAAUUGAAUUUUUUUUCUAGUUUUGGUUAAAACAUAUCAUAAUUUGUUAUUAGCAUCGGGAAACGUGAAGCAAAAGCCAUCCAUUAACAUAAAAAGUCUAGUUAUAGUCACUCAUACCUUCGAAAGCCUAGUUACUCACUUUAAAUGAUUUUAUAACUUUAUAAAUGAUUUUAAACUAAAUUAUUUCACAAUUUUGGUUAAAACAGAACAUAAUUUGUUGUUUGAAUUGAGAAACGUGAACCGAAAGCCAACCAUUGACAAUAAAAGUCCAUUAUAGUCACUCAAGCCUUCUAAAGCCUUGUUACUCUCAUUAAGUGGAUUUAUAACUUUAUAAAUGAUUUUAAAUUGAAUUAUUUUAUAAUUUUUAUUAAAACAUAUCAUAAUUUGAUGUUUUGAAUUGGAAACGUGAGGUGAAUGCUAUCCAUUGACAAAAAAAGUCCAUUUAUUGUCACUCAUUCUUUCGAGAGCCUUAUAACUUGCUUUAAAUGAUUUUAUAACUUUAUAAAUCAUUUUGAAUUGAGUUUUUUUAUAAUUUUUGGCUAAAACAGAUCAUAAUUUGAUGUUUCUAUCGAGAGACGAGAAGCAAAAGCCAUCUAUUGACAAAAAAAACUCCAUUUAUCAUCACUCAUGCCUUCGAAAGCGUUGUUACUCGCUUUAAGUGGAUUUAUAACUUUUUAAAUGAUUGUAAAUUGAAGUUUUUUAUAUUUUUGGUGAAAACAGAUCAUAAUUUGAUGUUUGCAUCAGGAAACGUGAAGCAAAAGCCAUCCAUUGGCAUAAAAAAGUCCAGUUAUAGUUACUCAUACCUUCGAAAGCCUUGUUACUCUCUUUAGGUGGAUUUAUAACUUUAUAAAUGAUUUUAAAUUGAUUUUUUUUAUUUUUUGUCAAAAUAGAUCAUAAUUUGCUACUUGCAUCGGGAAACGUGAAGCGAAAGCCAUCUAUUAACAAGAAAAGUCCACUUAUAGUCACUCAUGCCUUCGAAAGCCUGGUUAGUUGUUUUAAGUGGAUUUAUAACUUUUUAAAUGAUUUUAAACUAAAUUAUUUUACAAUUUUUGUUGAAACAGAUUAUAUUUAUUGUUUCAAUCAGGAAACGUGAACCGAAAGCCAUCAAUUGGCAAGAAAAGUCCAUUUAUCGUCAGUUAACCUUCGAAAACCUUGUUACUUACUUUAAGUGGUUUUAUAACUUCAUAUAUAAUUUUUUAUUUAAUUUUUUUUACAUUUUUAGUUAAAACAUAUCAUAAUUUAUAUUUGCAUCGAGAAACGUGAUGCGAAAGCAAACCAUUGACAAGAAAUGUCCAUUUAUAGUCACUUAUCCCUUCAAAAGCCUAGUUACUCACUUUAAGUGGAUUUAUAACUUUAUAAAUGAUUUUAAAUUGAAUUGUUUUACAUUUUCAAUUAAAGAAGAUAAUAAUUUGAUGUUUGAAUUACGAAACAUGAGGCAAAACCUAUCCAUUGACAAAAAAAGUCCAUUUAUUUUCACUCAUUCUUUCGAGAGCCUUAUAACUCACUUUAAGUGGUUUUAUAACUUUAUAAAUGAUUUUGAAUUGAAUUUUUUUUAUUAUUUCUUGCUAAAACAAAUCAUAAUUUGAUGUUUCCAUCAGAAGAUGUGAAGCAAAAGCCAUCUAUUGACAAGAAAAGUCCAUUUAUAGUCACUUAUUCCUUCAAAAGCCUUGUUACUCACUUUAAAUGGAUUUAUAACUUUUCAAAUGAUUUUAAAUUGAAUUUUUAAAAAUUUUUUGGUUAAAACAGAUCAUAAUUUGAUGUUUGCAUCAGGAAAUGUGAAGCAAGAGCCAUCCAUGGACAUGAAAAGUCUAGUUAUAGUCACUCACGCCUUUGAUAGGCUUGUUACUCUCUUUAAGUGGAUGUAUAACUUUAUAAAUGAUUUUAAAUGGAUUUUUUUUUCAUUUUUGGUUAAAACAGAUCAUAAUGUGUUGUUUGCAUAGAGAAACGUGAAACAAACGCCAUCCAUCGAUAAGAAAAGUCCAUUUAUACUCACUCAUGCCUUCUAAAACCUUGUUACUUGCAUCAAAUGGUUUUAUAAUCUUAUAAAUGAUUUUAAAUCGAAACUCUAUACAUAUAUGGUUAAAACAUAUCAUAAUUUGAUGUUUGCAUCAAAAAAUGUGAUGCAAAAGCCAUCCAUUGACAUAAAAAGUCCAGUUAUAGUCACUCAUGCCUUCGAAAGCCUUGUUUGUCACGACCUGGUACUCCCCUCGAGGCCGUGACAACCGUCUUGGUGUCUCGAUGACACUCAUUACCCGGAAUGCCAAUUGGAACCCCUCAAGGCUUUAAUAUCAGUUUCUCAUUUUCCCCUAUGAGUAAUCGUUGCCAAAUAUCACGUUCUAAAAUAUUUUAAACUAUUUCCAACUUAAAACAAUAUUUUUAGAACACUGCGUAAAUAAUUUUUACAGCAUAAAAGCAAAAUAAAUUCCUACAUACAGUAGUAUAGAUAACUAGAGUAUGAAAUUUAAUUUACAUUGACAUGUGGACCCCCAAAUGACAAAAAUGAACGAAGGCUAUAAACCUACAGUUUUUGAGGAAGUAAAGCCAACUGUAGCCUUCAAUGAUAUCAGCUAUCUACAGCCUAUACUGAGCCUAAAAUGGGUGGAAAUGAGGGUGGUGAGAUUAUAAAAUCCCAGUGAGUAAACAGACAUCUUCAUAAACAUCUAGAGUUUAGUACAUGGAGACAAUAAAAUAAAUCAUCGUAAAUUGGGUCACAGCAUUAGAACACAUUUCAUUCAAAAUACAUAACGAGGCUUAUGAACCUUAUAAAAACUAGGCUUGUGCCAUAAAUCCAUCCUCGGGGACACCUUGGCCUAGGCAUCCUACCGAGACCACCAAGGUUGUUAAAAAUUCACAUUUCGCAUAAAACACAUUUUUUGUUAGACAUCACAGUCGUUCCUUGGCGUUGGCUGAGUUCACCAUCACGUGGUGGUUCAAUGUGAAGUGAACUCAAAUAUCACCUCAGGAGCUACCCUACACACCUCUACAAUCGAGGUGAGCACAUAUAAACGGGGUUACCGUGCCCCUCUCAUAGGCUGGUCCAUGGAACCCGCCUACUGCAGUAAGCUAAUAAUUAUCCCACCAAUCAAUAAAAUUCAAUAACAUAAUAUGGCAAUUAUAGUAAUUCACAGCCUUUCAAGGCAAACAAACAAUCUGUAUUUCAAUACAAUUGCCAACCAGCCAAUCAUGCCUGAUUUAUCAUAAGCCAAUUAAUUUAAACAAUCAAAUUGCAACAAAUAGCAGUCUCUGUGUACUCUAUUUUUCAAAAUCAUUAUUAAUUUCAAAACAAUUUAUAAAUUAAUUUCAUUGAAACACAUUUAUUCAUAAAAAAUGAAAAUUUACCUUUUUAAAUCCAUUUUUCUAUAGAAUUCAUGAAAUCAUCUAAAAGCCACCCUAGAUAAUUAAAAUGACAGUAAGUUUACUUACAAUGUUUAGAUUGUGGAUUUUCGAAGUACUUUGACUAUUGGUCCUCGGAUGCAAUUUCCUUGCCUUUAUAGGAGGACUCACCACCUUGACAUAGUACAAAAUCGAGAAACUUACUAUAUUGGAACUAAAUCGAAAUUAAACUAAUUUAGACUACUAAUGCAUGAUAUGGAAUGCAAAAUGCACGGGUAAUCAUCUAAACUCGGUAUUGGCCUAAUUCGUCUUAUCACCCGAUUAAUUGGCCAACGCGUUCAAUUUAGCUCCAAAUUGCUCCAUUUCUUUUCCAAUACCUUAAUUCACCAAACAUAAGUCAAAUAACCUAAAAUUUGACAAAACCAUCUUCACUUUUCUUCUUAGAAUUUUCGGUCAAUAAUGGUGCAUUAACACCGUAAUUUUUCCUACUACUUUUUCACAUCAUAAUUCAUCAUUUUCUAACCAAUUCUCUUAAAAUAAAAAUCAAAUUCAUCCUCACUUAAUACAAGGUAGGUUUGGCCAUUGAUGGGUGAUGGAGAAAAUGAAUUCUUUUCUUGUUGUUUUGCUUCUAGACAUGGUAAACUAACUAAAAACACUAACAUAACUUGAAAUCAAAUCAAUCCAACAUCAUUCUCUCUCCAUACCCAUUCAGCCAGCUAUGAAUUCACCAUGAAAAUAUGAAAUUUAACCAUGAAAAAUAAGGAGAAAUGCUUAAGGAAAAUAGAUUUCAAGUUUAAAUUGAGAAAUCUUACCUUUUUCACUUGUUUUCCUUGAUUUUCCACACUUUUUCUCUUGAAAUUCUCCACCUAGGGUUUGUUCUUUCUUUCUUUCCCUCUUUUCCUUGCUUGGCCAAAUAUUUGGAGAGAAAUAAUAGGUUUAUAGGCUGAUUUUUAAAGGCAAUAAUAAAAUAUUCUAAGCUUGACACAUGGCAUGUUUCCAUUGGUCCAUUUUUAAAACUUAAAAAAUUUUAAAAUUUUUAUCUCCAUCACAUAUAUUUUCUCACUUAUCCAUAACAUAAAAAGUCAAUGGAUGAAUUCUAUGAGCAUGACAAGUGUUGGUGGUGUAAAAUUACAAUUUUGCCACUAGGGUGGUAAAAUUACCAUUUUACCCCUAUGCUCAAAAAAAUACCGAAAUUAAAAUUUUUCACUUCUCAACCUCAAAUCAUACUCCAAUAAGUCAAAUGUGAUCAAAAUCUUUCAAAAAUUUCCCAUUUUAUCCUCGAGUGGCAAAAUUACCAUUUUGCCCCUAGAUAGUGAAAUUUUUUGUUUGACUCCAAAUUGAUCCUUGAACCCCAAAUCACCAUUUUAAAUCAUUUCUGGAUUGUAAAAUUUUCAAUUUCACCUUAAAGUCUCUAUUUGAUCUAGUUCAAGGCUUAAAUCAAUUUUGUUGUACCUCUAGAUACAAUACCGACUUUUGUAAAUUUUUUGGGACUCUCCUAGCAGCAAACAUGCUAUCCAUCACAUGUAUGUCAUGACAAGUACUUUUUAAGAUGAUAGUAAGGUUACUCACAAUGUCUAGAGUGCGGAUUUUUGAAGCACUCUGACUACUGGUCCUCGGAUGCAAUUUUCUUGCCUUUAUCGGAGGACUCACCACCUUGACAUAGUACAAAAUCGAGAAACUUACUAUAUUGGUACUAAAUCGAAAUUAAACUAAUUUAGACUACAAAUGCAUGAUAUGGAAUGCAAAAUGCACGGGUAACCAUCUAAACUCGAUAUUGGCCUAAUUUGUCUUAUGACCCGAUUAAUUGGCCAACGCGUCCAAUUUAGCUCCAAAUUGCUCCAUUUCUUUUCCAAUACCUUAAUUCGCCAAACACAAGUCAAAUAACCUAAAAUUUGGCAAAACCAUCUUCACUUUUCUUCUUAGAAUUUUCGAUCAAUAAUGGUGCAUUAACAUCGUGAUUUUUCCUACUACUUUUCAACACCAUAAUUCAUCAUUUUCUAACCAAUUCUCUUAAAAUAAAAAAUCAAAUUCAUCCUCACUCAAUACAAGGUAGGUUCAGCCAUUGAUGGGUGAUGGGGAAAAUGAAUUCUUUUCUUUUUAUUUUGCUUCUAGACAUGGUAAACUAACUAAAAACACUAACAUAACUUGAAAUCAAAUCAUUCUAACAUCAUUCUCUCUCCAUACCCAUUCGGCUAGCCAUGAAUUCACCAUGAAAACAUGAAAUUUAACCAUGGAAAAUAAGGAGAAAUGCUUAAGGAAAAUAGAUUUCAAGUUUAAAUUGAGAAAUCCUACCUUUUUCACUUGUUUUCCUUGAUUUUUCACACUUUUUCUCUUGAAAUUCUCCACCUAGGGUUCUUGUUCUUUCUUUUCUUCCUUUGUUCUUCUUUGGCCGGCCA
rnacentral:lncRNA from 1 species